CGCAGAUCAUGGGGAUCGGGGGCCUGUUCCCGAGUAAGCAUCAUAUCCUUCGCGUCGGGCUUGUCAGAGUCGUGAAAGGAAAAAGAGGAUUCUGCUAGUCUGUGGUGAGUAAUCGCAGUCCUGAUGUCUAGAAGUUAUUUUCGGUCAUAAGAGACGGUAGCGGCAACAUUAUGUACAAAAAUAGUUUUCAAAAAUGUUACAAACAAUGCAGAAAAACAAACAAAAAAAGACAAUUGAAUCCUACAGACGAAGAACCGUAUAUGUGACAUUUUUCAAAAAAACGAGAUAUACAUGAAAAAUCAUUAUUGGACACCCUUUUUCUAUAGUGAACCGGUUUCACAAGCUUUCCACGCGCUAAUUAACAAUAUGUUUAAAUUUAAAGAUAGGCUCUCGUGGAAUAACCGUUUAUGUGCACCACUCAGAAUGGACGGACAAGCGCACAACUUUUCUGUUGCUGAUGAAAAUCACCGAAAUGUGGGAAAGAAACGUAAAACAAAACUAAAAGAAUGGAAAGACAGGCAAAGGAAGAUCUUACGGGAUGCGGGAAAACCCUAUACAAAUCGUAAGGGUCAAGAAAAAAAUAGGAAAAGCUGUCCAAAAGAGGGAAGAGCGUGUUCCACGACGUGCAGAAAGGAUUGUGGAAAGUUGAUUGAUGAGCGCAAGCUGCAUCUGUUCAACAUUUUCUACACUGUCCCAUACGAGAAACAACAAGCACAACCAGCAAAACCAUUCAAGGUGAUGAGGAUGCAAUGUGAAGACUUCAGUCACAUCCCAGAUUCUGUUCUCAAGCGACCAGCUGGACUACAGAUCACUUCAGUGAGGUGGUUAAAAGUCACAUGUAUUGCACAGAGAAUAGUUUACUAACAUCCCAUCAACAUGCAACAUGUUGUUCUAACAAUAAAAAAUCCUAAUGAUUCCCUUUUUUUAUUCAUUACAAUAUACAUCUCUGUCACCACAUUUAGCAUCAACUCUAAGCAGUUAAUACUUAUUUACUGCUGUCACCUCAGUACAGAAGGACGUUUCUUGCCUUUAGCAUGGGUUUAACGCAAUUCAAAACUUAAUUGCAGAUCAUAGUGUUAAACGCAAAGAUAAUGGUUUUCUGAACGUUUUGUAAUAUUGACCUUAGGGACCUGCAUAAUGGACAUGCAUAUUGGCACAUCACAUUGAUCCAUAUUUGAUAUGUACAAGUUGUACUUCUUUUGAUUGAAUUAAUUUAAUUGUAUUCUAUUUUUGUAGUUAUUCUAUGGUAUGUUCACAUUGAGG
rnacentral:lncRNA from 1 species